AUGAAGACAGCUGUUCAUGCUUUAUUCAUUUUCUUCUGGCUGCAGAUGGACUGGGAGAGCAGAGGCAAGCAGGUGGAGCAGCAUCCUUCCACCCUGAGUGUCCAGGAGGGAGACAGCACUGUCAUCAACUGUACUUACAAAGACAGUGCCUCAGUCUACUUCUCUUGGUAUAAGCAAGAGCCUGGGAAGCAUCUUCACUUCAUCAUUGACAUCCGGUCAAAUGUGGAAAGAAAGCAGAACCAAAGACUCACCCUUCUGUUGGAUAAGAAACACAAACACCUUACCCUGUACAUCACAGCCACUCAGUCUGCAGAUUCAGCCAUCUACUUCUGUACAGCAGAUACACACUGCUCCCCAGGCACCUGCAGCCUGUCUUAA